UACGUAGGGUGCAAGCGUUAAUCGGAAUUACUGGGCGUAAAGCUUGCGCAGGCGGUUUUGUAAGACUGACGUGAAAUCCCCGGGCUCAACCUGGGAAUGGCGUUGGUGACUGCAAGGCUAGAGUUUGGCAGAGGGGGGUAGAAUUCCACGUGUAGCAGUGAAAUGCGUAGAUAUGUGGAGGAACACCGAUGGCGAAGGCAGCCCCCUGGGUCAAAACUGACGCUCAUGCACGAAAGCGUGGGGAGCAAACAGG
rnacentral:rRNA from 1 species